CACUCAGUGAUAAAAAUAUGGGAUUCUGGGUAAUCCACAGCGGAUCUAUGGAGAAUUGCUGUUGAUGUAUGGUGACUCCACGUUUGGAUGAACGGACCAACAGGACUGCCAUGGGAAAGUCCCUUGACGGGUACCAGGAAUGGUGGAAGGACAAUCUGAAGGUAAUUAUCUUUUCACACAACACAGCAGUGUUUUUUGAACCAGAUCAGAACGCCUUCGAAGACCACCUUCAGGCACGGACUGAGAAGGAUGUGGAGGUUUUUGACCAGGUGAGACUGAACAUGGACAGGGCGCAUGAGGAGGAUCUACCUGAGAAGAAUCAAGGGGACCAAGUGCUUUGACAUCUGGGUGAAUGACUUGGCUUGGAAGAAAGGAAGACUAGACCCGGGAAAACUUGGUGCUCUUUCGCUCCUAGCUGGGGUCAACAUCCGUUAAGGACAUAGGGAUUCUGCCAAACACCCAGACAUGGAUCCUCCUGAUGUCCCCCAUUACCAACCACCCUCCAACUUUUCAUCAGCAACUGUUAUUGUCAAGUUGUCAUUAUUUGCUUAGAAAGAGCAAGACAACUAUCAUACUGGGCACAUAAUGUGAGCUGCACAGAUUAGCUAAAAACACUAGCACUGCAAACACUCAGAACAAAGAGGGAAGCAGUGCCUGGACUACAGUUUCCCUCUUAGAGUCCACUGCCUGUUGAAAAACAAGUGACCGGCAGAACCUCCCAUCCACACAAGACCCACCUCCUCUCUAUUCCACACCAGAAUUCUGUAUUUCAGUCUGAUUGCCAAGUGAGUGUACAAAAAAAUCUGAAAGUAAAUUGACACAUCUACCAAACAAAUAUCAAUGGUUAUGUAUUUAAAUGUAAAAUAUUGCUAGAUUGAUUUUCA